rnacentral:sRNA from 1 species
ACCCUAAACCACACAUGUUCCGUCACAUGCAUCAGGGUGCCCUUGGUAACGAUCCGUUGCCGGGGUUGAUUCAUGGGGAACAUGGAGGCUUAAC